rnacentral:misc_RNA from 1 species
AGCAGCCGCGGUAAUUCCAGCUCCAAUAGCGUAUAUUAAAGUUGUUGCAGUUAAAAAGCUCGUAGUUGAAUUUCGGGAUCAAUAUGUUGGUCGUGCCUUGGUACGUACUGGCGUCAUUGGUUUCUACCUUCUGAAGAACCUCGAUGUCAUUAAUUUGGUGUCUUGGGGAAUCAGGACUGUUACUUUGAAAAAAUUAGAGUGUUUAAAGCAAGCUCACGCUUGAAUACAUUAGCAUGGAAUAAUGAAAUAGGACGUUUGAUUCUAUUUUGUUGGUUUCUAGGAUCGACGUAAUGAUUAAUAGGGAUAGUUGGGGGCAUUAGUAUUCAAUUGUCAGAGGUGAAAUUCUUGGAUUUAUUGAAGACUAACUACUGCGAAAGCAUUUGCCAAGGAUGUUUUCAUUAAUCAAGAACGAAAGUUAGGGGAUCGAAGACGAUCAGAUACCGUCGUAGUCUUAACCAUAAACUAUGCCGACUAGGGAUCGGAUGGAUGUUAAUUUUUAAUGUACUCAUUCGGCGCCUUA